rnacentral:rRNA from 1 species
GUGAAAUUGUUGAAAGGGAAACGAUUGAAGUCAGUCGUGCUGGCGUGAAAUCAAUUUCGUGCAACUGGUCUCACUGCUGCAGCGAGCCUUAAAACCGCUGUAACGAUGAGAUCUAGUUGUGCGGGGUGCACUUUUACAUCAGCUGGUUAGCAUCAAUUUCGACUGUCAUAAAAAGGCUAGAGGGAUGUGGCUCCUUCGGGAGUGUUAUAACCUUUAGCGGAAUGUGGUGGUUGAGAUUGAGGUUUGCAGCGGGUAUUUCUACCUGGCCUCUUGUUGGUGUCUUGGUAGCGACAGCUUGCUGACGUUAUUAGGAUCAGCCGGCGAAAAGGUUAGAGUGGAAGAUUCGUUAAGGAUGCUGACGUAAUGGCUUUAAACGAC